AAAGGGCAAGUAAAAAGAAAAAAAAGAUAAAGUACAGAAAAAGAUGUGCAAGAAAUGUCAUGUUUUCUUAUCUAGGUUUUGUGAUUAAGGACUAAGCUAUCUGAACACAAAGACCCAAGGAGGCCAAUGAGUCUUCCUAACCUAAUCAGUGAAUCUGCUUCUGGUGGAUGAGUCAGCCAAAGAAACACCUUCUUGGAAUAGCCCUGUGAACUGGAGGGGUUAUUGCCUGAAUGGAGUUAAGACUUACUGGAUUCAGAGAAGGAAGGAAUUUGGAGAUUUAAAAAAAAAAAGUUAUUAGAAGAGGUUUUAAGGAGAUUCAAUGGAAGUUCAAUAUUGCAGAUAUUUAGUAGAAGGACCACAGGCAGAAGUGAAGAAUUAAGAUGGAUCAGGAAGGAGAAAAAGAUCCUAUUGCUCUCUCCUGUGCUAGUCAACUUUUAUACUGAACCAGUAUAUAAACACAAGGAGCUGCAAGCCAGGCUGUCUGUGAACAAGACAGAGGGUCCUGUACCGCCUGUUAAAUUAGAGACACCAGCCUCAGGUAUUUGAGAGUCUUGAUACGUGUCUCUGGGAGGAACUAGGGGCAAGAUGCUGAAUGAAAUAAGUCCAGUUACCAGUGAAAGCUGUACUCUGUGUGCUUGUUUCUGUAGCAACUUCAAUCCUGCUCAGCUAGGGAGGAGGACCAUGGGAUUAUUUCUGCUGUUAAUGUGGAUGUUGUAUGUUUACAGAGUGCUGGUAAAGUUGCUGCUCUCUAUCCAUGUUCAACUUUGUGACUGGUUGUGUAUGUAUAGCAUUAGACAAUACAUGUCAACACUGCAGUAGACUUUAUCUCACCUCCUCAAGUAGAACAACAGCUUGUUGGGGUUUUUUUGACCAGGAUUACAGGUGCUGUACAUCAUCUUUUGUCUAUUAUCCACUUUUUGCUUUACUGUACCCUCUGUUUCAUUACUGUAUUUUUGAUGCUGCUUGAAAUAAAUUUUACAAGGCUUUAAAAGACA